AGUCGAGCGAAUGGAUUAAGAGCUUGCUCUUAUGAAGUUAGCGGCGGACGGGUGAGUAACACGUGGGUAACCUACCCAUAAGACUGGGAUAACUCCGGGAAACCGGGGCUAAUACCGGAUAAUAUUUUGAACUGCAUAGUUCGAAAUUGAAAGGCGGCUUCGGCUGUCACUUAUGGAUGGACCCGCGUCGCAUUAGCUAGUUGGUGAGGUAACGGCUCACCAAGGCGACGAUGCGUAGCCGACCUGAGAGGGUGAUCGGCCACACUGGGACUGAGACACGGCCCAGACUCCUACGGGAGGCAGCAGUAGGGAAUCUUCCGCAAUGGACGAAAGUCUGACGGAGCAACGCCGCGUGAGUGAUGAAGGCUUUCGGGUCGUAAAACUCUGUUGUUAGGGAAGAACAAGUGCUAGUUGAAUAAGCUGGCACCUUGACGGUACCUAACCAGAAAGCCACGGCUAACUACGUGCC
rnacentral:rRNA from 1 species